GAGGCUUGCUUUUAAUUAAGUAUAAGAAGGUUCUUGAGGAAAACUUUGAGUCAUGUGAUGGAUCUCUAAGACAAGAUGGAUGCUUUAUUAAUAUUAAGAAAAAGGAAUCAACGCAAUAAAUAGAAGAGAUUUGGUAUCAUCUAAUAACAAAGAUAUGAUACAAGAAUAAAUAAAAACAUUCCUAAUAAUACAUAUAUGAUCUAGAUAUUCUUGAUUAUAUAAGAUCAACUUCUUAUUUCAAUAAUUAUAACACUCUCCUUCAAGUUAGAGCAUAUAAGUCGUAUGUGCACAGCUUACUGCAAGUAUAAAAAUAGCUUACUGCUAGUAUAAAUGAGACUCGGCUCUCUCAUAGACUCAGUGAAUACAUCAACCAAUUGUUCAUUAAAGUUGACAGAUUUUUUGGCAAUGUCUCUAGACUCCAAUUUUUCUCUUAUGAAAUGACAAUCCACCUCAAUAUGUACGGUUUUCUCAUGAAAGACAAGAUUAUAUGCAAUGUGUAAUGUUGUUUGGCUGUCACAUACAAGGUGUAUUGGGAACAUUCUUCAAAUUUAAGCCCUUUGAGGAGUUGUUUUAGUUAUAUGAGCUCACAAAUGACUAAUGUCAUUGUCUUAUGUUUUGCUUCUGCACUUGAUCUCACCACAUUUAGUUUUCUACUUUUUCACGACAUAAAUUACCUCAAACAAGAACGUAGUACCCUAAAGUGGAGCAUCCAUUGCUUGGUGGCCCUUCCCAAUCGGCAUAAAAAUAUUCAACAAUUUGAGAAAUUCCUUUAUCCUCAUAAAUGAGACCUUUUCCGCGAGACUUCUUAAUAUACUUUAAGAUUCAUACAAAUGCAUCUCUAUGGUCUUGAAAAUGAGUCUAAAAAUAGACUUACUGCAUUCACUACAAAUUCAACGUCACGAUGAGUCACGAUGAGGUAAUUUACCUUACCAACUAACCUUGUGUAUCUCUUAGACAAUCAUAACACGGUUCUCCUAGAUCAGGUACAAGUUUAACACUUGGAUCCAUUGAAGUGUCCACAUGUUUAGCAUUUAUCAUCCUUAUUUCUUCUAGAAUGUCAAGAACAUGUAUUCUUUGAGAUAUAAAAUCUCCAACACCCACCCUCACACAAAGGCAGGACACCUUGAACAUGGGAAUACAGGAGGUGUCGAUAUUGGGUGGCACAAUAGGUCCAAGAGAUAUUGCUAGAAUAGGCCCUAAUACUAUGCUAAACUCUAGGGAUGAGAGAAACAUUAAAUUGAGACCAUAUGUCUCUGAGAAAGCACGGGUGCUUUAUUUAUAUUGAGAAAGGAGUCUAUGCAAUAAAUAAAGGACAUUUGAUAUGCUCCAAUAACAAAGAUAUGAUAUGGGAAUAAUAAAAGCAUUCCUAAUAAUAAAUAUAAAAUCUACAUAUUAUUCCUUAUAUAGGAUCAGCUCCUUAU
rnacentral:lncRNA from 1 species